GCAGGUUUCAUUCUUGUUUCUCUGCGAUACAGAGACGAUUAGCAUGGCCCUGUGCAAGGAUGACACGCCCAAUCGUGUAGCGUUCUCAUUUUUA